GCUAGCAGCUUGAGGGUGGAAUUUAUGUCAAAUCUUCUAAAUGGCACUGACUCCCUCCUCCUGCACCCUGGAUCAGCAGCCUGCCUAUUGAGCACCGGCCGGAAGCAGAACAGUCCUAUUGGCGUCUUCCAUCCUUGCCUUAGUUCUGCUCACCACGCAGGCGGGUGCUGUGCCCAGGGCAACUCUGCAGGACUGUGGGGUGCUGAUCCAAGACCAUCUUUCCAUAGACUUCACUGGAAAUGUCAUUAAGAUGCCAGAAGACAGACAGAGCAUGAGUCAGGGAUGGGCAGAAGAGGAG